rnacentral:rRNA from 1 species
GACAUAGGUGGCGAACGUUAUCCGGAAUUAUUGGGCGUAAAGGGCUCGUAGGCGGUCUGUUGCGUCAGGAGUGAAAACUCGGGGCUUAACCCCGAGCCUGCUUCUGAUACGGGCAGACUAGAGGUAUGCAGGGGAGAACGGAAUUCCUGGUGUAGCGGUGAAAUGCGCAGAUAUCAGGAGGAACACCGGUGGCGAAGGCGGUUCUCUGGGCAUUACCUGACGCUGAGGAGCGAAAGUGUGGGGAGCGAACAGG